CGAACGCUGGCGGCGUGCCUAACACAUGCAAGUCGAACGGAACUGUUUUGAAAGAUUUCUUCGGAAUGAAUUUGAUUUAGUUUAGUGGCGGACGGGUGAGUAACGCGUGAGUAACCUGCCUUCAAGAGGGGGAUAACAUUCUGAAAAGGAUGCUAAUACCGCAUGACAUAUCGGAACCACAUGGUUUUGAUAUCAAAGAUUUUAUCGCUUGAAGAUGGACUCGCGUCCGAUUAGUUAGUUGGUGAGGUAACGGCUCACCAAGACCGCGAUCGGUAGCCGGACUGAGAGGUUGAACGGCCACAUUGGGACUGAGACACGGCCCAGACUCCUACGGGAGGCAGCAGUGGGGGAUAUUGCGCAAUGGGGGCAACCCUGACGCGGCAACGCCGCGUGAAGGAUGAAGGUUUUCGGAUUGUAAACUUCUUUUAUUAAGGACGAAAAAUGACGGUACUUAAUGAAUAAGCUCCGGCUAACUACGUGCCAGCAGCCGCGGUAAUACGUAGGGAGCAAGCGUUGUCCGGAUUUACUGGGUGUAAAGGGUGCGUAGGCGGCUUUGCAAGUCAGAUGUGAAAUCUAUGGGCUCAACCCAUAAACUGCAUUUGAAACUGUAGAGCUUGAGUGAAGUAGAGGCAGGCGGAAUUCCCCGUGUAGCGGUGAAAUGCGUAGAGAUGGGGAGGAACACCAGUGGCGAAGGCGGCCUGCUGGGCUUUAACUGACGCUGAGGCACGAAA
rnacentral:rRNA from 1 species